GUAGGGUGGUAUUGGGGGAGCUCUAUGGUUCUAUGGGGAGGCUAUAGGAGGCAGUGGGAGAGCUAUAGCAAGUUUAUAGGUGGUUAUGUGGCUAUAGGGUUCUGUGGGUGGGCUGUAGGAGGGUUCUAGUAGGGUAGGAGGCUAUAGGGGGCUAUGGAGGAGAUAUAAGGAGACAUGGGGCAAUUGUGGGUUUUUAGGGGGCUGUGGUGGGCUGUGUGAGGGUAUAGGAUGAUAGAGGGCCGGAGAGGGUUUCUAGAGAGGGAUGUUAUGCUGGAGAAGGUAUGGGGGGGGAUAAAUGAGGGCUUUGGAGGUUAUGAAGGGGCUCUUUUGGGCUCUUUGGAGAUAUAGGGAGAUCUGAGGCUAUAGUUUGGAGGAUGUGGUCCUCUAAGGGGCUGUGUGGGUCCAUAGGAUGAUCUGGAGCUAUAGGGUGAUCUCUAAAGGGAUGUGGGGCUAGAAGGCUCUCCCUUCCUUCUUUCCCCCCUUUCCACAGCAGGGAGGGUGAAAUGCUAGUCAUGAAAUUGAAAUUGGAACUGAAGUUGUCUUGGAAUAGAAUAUGGUGCUUUUGUGGUCUUCAAUCUGAAACGUGUUUUCUCCUUGGGUUUAGCUGACUUGGGUUUCUUCUGCCACUGUCCCAUGAAAGAGUUGAUUUGCUUCAGUCCAUCCCUGCUCCGUUCCUGGUUCAAGCCAAGCUCCAGUCCCUUCCCUGGUCUCCGUGGGAUCGGUUUGUUCUGUUCUCAUGCACUUACAGAAACAGAAGCUACGCACCCACCAAACCCUGGGACAGGUAUUUCCCUACAGAAGCAUUCAUGUCCUUCUCCUGGCCCCUUUGGCCAGUUCCCAGCUCUCCAAACUGAGGCAUACGGCUGCAGCCCUCCCCAUGGCUUCUUUGGGGCAGCUGUGGGGCAGCCCCACCCCGAGGAGGAGAUGCCUUUUCCCCACACGCAGCUGGUUCUACGGACACAUGGGGUGAGGACGUGGGGUUGUGGGUCACAUGGGGGUCCUGCAGGGUCACAGAGUUACAAGGUGAUGUGGGGCUAUGGGUUCAGGUGGGGUUCUGAGUCACAGUGAUGGGGUCAGAUGGUAGGGACAGGGAGUUACGGAUCACAUGGGUUGUAUGUUUGGGUGAGGUGGGGGCAGGGAUCCCAGAGUUAUGGGGCCACAUGGCAUUGGGUCACAGCGUGAUGGGUGCAGGCAGAGUCAGGGCGUCACAGGGUCAUGUGGGGGUAUGGUUCCCCCAGAGCUGUGGGUUGCGUGCAGCCAUGGGGUCACGCACAUACAGCGUGAUGAGGUCAUCUUGGGUUAUUGCUCAUGUGGGGUUACGGCUCAGGGCCCCACGUUUGGGCCACAGGGACGCCCAGUCCCCUCUCAGGAUGAAUUGAAACCACUACAACCCACCCCCCCCUCACCCCCCCCGCUCUUUUUACCUCAAAUUGCUCCCCACAUCCUCCCAUACCCCCUAUGUCUCCAUACUACGCCAUGUACCUGUUUCCCACCUGCAGCCCACAUCUUGUCUUCUCUUGGACAGCAUUCUGCUCCUGCAGCCUGUGUUCCCAUAUCCCCCGAUGUCCCUAUAUCCCUCCCACACCCCCCACAGAGCCCCAUAGCUCCUAAAGGACCUUCUCCCGGUACACCUCCCCCCAGCAACCUGGGACCUCACAGAGCUCCACAGUCCCCAGCAGCACCCCACGUCCCCCUCUGAGCUCCCACUGAACUCCCCUAUUUCCUCCUUCAGACAUCCUUAACCUCUUCAGCCCCCUCCGCCCCGGCUUCUCGGACUCCCACAGUUUCUGAGAGGACCGCCAUCACCAUCCCAGGAUCCCCAUAUCCCACCGACGAGGAACCCCACAGCAAAACACAUCUCAGGAUGGGGCUCCAGCUGUGCCCUGACGCGUUCAUUCAAGAGAGGAGAAUGAAUGAGCGUAAGGGGGCGACUUUCCUUCUGACAUUGCCCACCACCUGCGUGUUGGAUGUGCCGUGCCAGCAGCAUUUUGUCCUCGAGCUGUGAGUGCAAGUAUGCAUGCAUACGGGGGUGUGCAGAGAUGGUGCUGAACAUCCGAGCGUGCAUUGCACGUGGCUGUGUGCACGGUGCUUGCAGGUGAAAGUUUUGCAUGUGUGCGCAUGCACAUGGCUGUGUGCAAGGCCAGGAGCAUGCGCUCGUGUCGUCGUGCACGUGGGUGUGCAAAGGGAUGGAGUGCACGCAUGUGUAUGUAUGCAUGAACACGGGAGAGUGCAUCAAGGUCUUUGCACAAGGCCAUUUGUUUUAUCACACUUUUGCGUGUACAUGAAUGGAGUACGCACACAGGGCUGUGCAAGGAUGCGAUUCCACGUGUGUGUGAAUGCACAGGUGUGUGUGCAGGGAAAUCUUUGCACUUGGGUGUAUGGUUCUGCACACAUCCCUGCACACAGAUGCGCGUGCAAGGGAGCAGCGGAGGCUCCUGGGAACAGGAGAUUGCUGGGAGCAGCAGAACUCCCGUGAGAGUGCUGGAGAGCACAGGGCCGGGAAGCACAGCUCCGCAGCACUGCGCUCUGCACAACAGCCUGCAGGACGGCACGGAGCGCUGACAGAACCAGGACACAGCGCCAUAGCAGGCACUGCAAAGGAAACAGCUCCAUCCCAGCCGCAACAGUGACAGGCAGGCAGGCACUGGGGAGGGCUGCACGGCAGAGGGACGCCCUCUGAGUGCCACAACCUGGAGCGCUGUCUGCAAGCAGAACAGUGCCAGGAUGGCAGCCUGGUGGUCCUAAGCUGCAGAGAUGCUGCUCUGGACCAACAGCCUGUCAUUUUUUCAGAAAACGCCGUCCUUUUGCUGAACUUUGCUCAUUGUACACCCGUCAUCACAGCAAAAAACGCUCAGUGCUGCCCUGGGAAACUCAGCAAUCUCCACAGCAUUGCUCUCCAAGUUAGCACGCUCAUGGCCAGGCUUUGUUCCCAGCAGCUCUUUGCACGUGCUUUGCAGACAGUCUGUUUGUGGGCAGUGCAAAGGACUGCUGCAUCCAUUGCAUCACUGGACGGCAGCAUUUGCUGACGGAGCUGUGGCAGUUCUGAGCGAGCGCCGCGAGACCAAUAACGAGGAGGUGGUGCAGCAGCUCUCCGAGUGCCGCUGGACAAAUCAGGCCGUGCGCUCUUUGUGAAUCUAUAAAUUUGACUGGUGUUUAAUGACUACGUUUGAAGGUGGAGUGCUGAGAUGGGCGGCACUCAGUGCUGCCCUGUAACGCCGCGCACUGCAGAAGCUGCUUCCUGCUUAUGCUCCUCCUCUCAGUCCUUCAGCUGCAGCUUCUGCAUCAUCUCCACAAGGCUGUCCACUGCGGAGGCCUGGGAAGAAACGGAGCGAGGGUAGAAACAGGACACCACUUCCCUCGGGAUUUUACAGUCUCUUCCUUUCAUGUGUGACAGACAGAGGCCCUGAGAACAACAAGAGCCGUGUCUGUGUUCACCAAGGACUCACCUCUGCACGUGCAGCAGCAGCUCUGAGGGCAGCCUUCUUCAGCUCCACUCUCCUCUCUUUCUGUCGCUGUCUUCUUGCUAUAA